CCUACGGGUGGCAGCAGUGGGGAAUAUUGCGCAAUGGGCGAAAGCCUGACGCAGCGACGCCGCGUGAGGGAUGAAGGUCUUCGGAUCGUAAACCUCUGUCAGCAGGGAAGAACGGUCACUGUGCUAAUCAGCAGUGAAUUGACGGUACCUGCAAAGGAAGCACCGGCUAACUCCGUGCCAGCAGCCGCGGUAAUACGGAGGGUGCGAGCGUUAAUCGGAAUUACUGGGCGUAAAGCGCUCGUAGGCGGUAUGUCAAGUCAAGGGUGAAAUCCCCGCGCUCAACGUGGGAACUGCCUUUGAAACUGGCAAACUGGAGUGUGUGAGAGGAUAGUGGAAUUCCAGGUGUAGGGGUGAAAUGCGUAGAUAUCUGGAGGAACAUCAGUGGCGAAGGCGACUAUCUGGCACAUAACUGACGCUGAGGAGCGAAAGCGUGGGUAGCAAACAGGAUUAGAUACCCUAGUAGUC
rnacentral:rRNA from 1 species